GAUGAACGCUGGCGGCGUGCCUAAUACAUGCAAGUCGAGCGAACAGACGAGGAGCUUGCUCCUCUGACGUUAGCGGCGGACGGGUGAGUAACACGUGGAUAACCUACCUAUAAUACUGGGAUAACUUCGGGAAACCGGAGCUAAUACCGGAUAAUAUAUUGAACCGCAUGGUUCAAUAGUGAAAGACGGUUUUGCUGUCACUUAUAGAUGGAUCCGCGCCGGAUUAGCUAGUUGGUAAGGUAACGGCUUACCAAGGCAACGAUGCGUAGCCGACCUGAGAGGGUGAUCAGCCACACUGGAACUGAGACACGGUCCAGACUCCUACGGGAGGCAGCAGUGGGGAAUCUUGCACAAUGGGCGGAAGCCUGAUCGAGCCAUACCGCGUGGGUGAAGAAGGUCUUCGGGUUGUAAAACCCUUUUAUUAGGGAAGAACAAAUGUGUAAGUAACUAUGCACGUCUUGACGGUACCUAAUCAGAAAGCCACGGCUAACUACGUG
rnacentral:rRNA from 1 species